rnacentral:rRNA from 1 species
CGUGCCUACGGGACGCAGCAGUGGGGGAUAUUGCACAAUGGGGGAAACCCUGAUGCAGCGACGCCGCGUGGGUGAAGAAGCGCCUCGGCGCGUAAAGCCCUGUCAGCAGGGAAGAAAAUGACGGUACUUGAAGAAGAAGCCCCGGCUAACUACGUGCCAGCAGCCGCGGUAAUACGUAGGGGGCAAGCGUUAUCCGGAUUUACUGGGUGUAAAGGGGGCGCAGACGGCGAUGCAAGCCAGGAGUGAAAGCCCGGGGCCCAACCCCGGGACUGCUCUUGGAACUGCUGGGCUAGGGUGCAGGAGGG